CGGGUGAGUAACACGUGAGUAACCUGCCCUUGACUCUGGGAUAAGCCUGGGAAACUGGGUCUAAUACCGGAUACGACCAUCUGGCGCAUGUCAUGGUGGUGGAAAGCUUUUGUGGUUUUGGAUGGACUCGCGGCCUAUCAGCUUGUUGGUGGGGUAAUGGCCUACCAAGGCGACGACGGGUAGCCGGCCUGAGAGGGUGACCGGCCACACUGGGACUGAGACACGGCCCAGACUCCUACGGGAGGCAGCAGUGGGGAAUAUUGCACAAUGGGCGCAAGCCUGAUGCAGCGACGCCGCGUGAGGGAUGACGGCCUUCGGGUUGUAAACCUCUUUCAGUAGGGAAGAAGCCGUAAGGUGACGGUACCUGCAGAAGAAGCGCCGGCUAACUACGUGCCAGCAGCCGCGGUAAUACGUAGGGCGCAAGCGUUAUCCGGAAUUAUUGGGCGUAAAGAGCUCGUAGGCGGUUUGUCGCGUCUGCUGUGAAAGACCGGGGCUCAACUCCUGUUCUGCAGUGGGUACGGGCAGACUAGAGUGCAGUAGGGGGAGACUGGGAAUUCCUGGGUGUAGCGGUGAAAUGC
rnacentral:rRNA from 1 species